AGUUCUUAUAACCCAACCCAUCGAUAUACCCUCGAACCAAAUGAAUAGGAACGAGCUUUGGGAGUUACAUCGCCGACUUUUGGCACUGUAGAAGAAGAAGUUUAUCUAACCUAUCUUCUCUGUGUGGGGUGCCUCGAUCUUGUUCACAGAGAAGAAUGAUAGAAUUCCCCACUUUUAUAUUGAUUAUCGAGAACUCAAUCAGGUAACCACUAAUAAAAGGUGCCUAUUACCCCGUAUCGACAACCUGUUUAAUCGAUUUUCGAAUGUUUCAGUGUCCUCCAAAAUCCAUCUCAAAUAUAGUUAUCGCUAAAUGCGAGUAUGAACUAAAGAUAUGCCAGUGAUGGUGUAACAUCCCAAAUACUAAUUAAAGCAUAAAGAUGCCAAAUACAGAAACAGAUACGAGUG
rnacentral:lncRNA from 1 species